UCCUGGUGGCUCAGACAGUAAAGAAUUUGCCUGCAAUGCAGGAGGCCCAGGUUCGAUCCCUGGGUCAGGAA
rnacentral:tRNA from 1 species